UACGUAGGGUGCAAGCGUUGUCCGGAAUUAUUAGGCGUAAAGAGCUCGUAGGCGGUCUGUUACGUCGGCUGUGAAAUCCCGGGGCUCAACUCCGGAACUGCAGUCGAUACGGGCAGACUCGAGUAUGGUAGGGGAGACUGGAACUCCUGGUGUAGCGGUGAAAUGCGCAGAUAUCAGGAAGAACACCGGUGGCGAAGGCGGGUCUCUGGGCCAUUCCUGACGCUGAGACGCGAAAGCUAGGGGAGCGAACAGG
rnacentral:rRNA from 1 species